UUGCAAAUUUUUAACUCUUUUUGAACGUGUUUUACGGCAUCAUAAUUAUAGAAUGAGCUUCCUGAUCAAAUUUUGUAUGCCAUGCAUCAUUAUGAGCGUUAUUCUCCAGAAUGUGUUUGCUCAAAACGCAGACCCAGAGCAAAUAAUCAUUGCGCGUCAACCCCCACCUGAGACAGAUAACGACCCACCCGUGACUGCUGACCGAAGAUUUGUGAUCGAGGACAUAACACCUCCGUCUGGCCCCAUGGCAGAUUUCCACGCUUCCGGCACACGCCGUGGAAAAGUUUUGGAAACAUUGUAAAUAAGGC